UACGGAGGGGGUUAGCGUUGUUCGGAAUUACUGGGCGUAAAGCGCGCGUAGGCGGAUUAGAAAGUUGGGGGUGAAAUCCCGGGGCUCAACCUCGGAACUGCCUCCAAAACUGCUAGUCUAGAGUUCGAGAGAGGUGAGUGGAAUUCCGAGUGUAGAGGUGAAAUUCGUAGAUAUUCGGAGGAACACCAGUGGCGAAGGCGGCUCACUGGCUCGAUACUGACGCUGAGGUGCGAAAGUGUGGGGAGCAAGCAGG
rnacentral:rRNA from 1 species